AGUGAACGCUGGCGGUAGGCCUAACACAUGCAAGUCGAACGGCAGCACAGUAAGAGCUUGCUCUUACGGGUGGCGAGUGGCGGACGGGUGAGGAAUACAUCGGCAUCUACUUUUUCGUGGGGGAUAACGUAGGGAAACUUACGCUAAUACCGCAUACGACCUACGGGUGAAAGCAGGAGAUCUUCGGACCUUGCGCGAUUGAAUGAGCCGAUGUCGGAUUAGCUAGUUGGCGGGGUAAAGGCCCACCAAGGCGACGAUCCGUAGCUGGUCUGAGAGGAUGAUCAGCCACACUGGAACUGAGACACGGUCCAGACUCCUACGGGAGGCAGCAGUGGGGAAUAUUGGACAAUGGGCGCAAGCCUGAUCCAGCCAUACCGCGUGGGUGAAGAAGGCCUUCGGGUUGCAAAGCCCUUUUGUUGGGAAAGAAAAGCAGCAGGUUAAUACCCCGCUGUUCUGACGGUACCCAAAGAAUAAGCACCGGCUAACUUCGUG
rnacentral:rRNA from 1 species